rnacentral:rRNA from 1 species
UACAGGGGGGGCAAGCGUUGUUCGGAAUUACUGGGCGUAAAGGGUUCGUAGGUGGCCAACUAAGUCAGACGUGAAAUCCCUCAGCUUAACUGGGGAACUGCGUCUGAUACUGGAUGGCUUGAGUGUAGGAGAGGAAUGCGGAAUUCCAGGUGUAGCGGUGAAAUGCGUAGAUAUCUGGAGGAACACCGGUGGCGAAGGCGGCAUUCUGGACUACAACUGACACUGAGGAGCGAAAGCCAGGGGAGCAAACAGG